AUAAUCACAACCAUUUUUUAUAUCAAUAUCUACAUUAGAUUGAGCCAAACAAUUCAUAUACUCAUCAGCCAGAGUAUAAGAAUCCAAUUCUAACAUUCGAAUGUGACUCAAGUUACAUUAUAAAGGACAAAUCCGAAAUAAAUUAUUAUUAAACAUGCUGAGAUCUAAGUAAAUUAAAAUAUUUAACAACACUUUUGAUAUGCUUAGCAUGAUCAUUGAAAGUGCUGUUUCCAAAUCCAGUGGUUCUAAGUGCACAAACUCAGCACUUGAACCAACUGGAAUGGAAUUGAAGCACAUACAAAAUUCGAAUUGAGAGUCCAAUUAUUAUACAUUGCCGCAGUCCCAAAUGUUUAAUUAUUACAAACAUGAUUCAUUCUAAUAUUACAACAUAAUAGCCAUUGUGUUGCUACACUUAUAUUCAAACCAACAGGGGAAAUGAGGAAAUAAGUUAAACACAUAAAUGACAACUGAGAUCUUCACAUUUGAGGAGUAGAUUUCACUUGAGCUUCAUAUAUAUGAGUAUUGAAUUAAUACCUGUAAUACAACAGAAAAACCAAGACUAUGAGUAAAGUGUGAGGGGUCAGUCAAGCAAACAGCUAGCCAAUCAAACAGUGUGUCCAAGGCUUCAACAAGAUUGUGAGAAAUUCAAACUCAAGAGGAUCAAAUUCAACUACUGAUGGUAUUUUCGGAUAUGAAAUGAGUAUUUUUAGCUCUAGUAUUGAAGAGUGGAGUUCCAGACCAGUAUUUCUAGCUUUUAGUAUUAAAGAGAAAGAUUUCUGGCUCCUUAUCUAAUGCCCCAAAUGAUUUAAUUUAUAGCAAAACUAUUAGGGCAUCAGAUUUUACUUGUUUUCUUUUUUAGUCCUUAAUUCAACUUGUAUUUUUGCCUAAAUAGUCCUUCAAUUUCUGACUUGUGCCUCAAGUUUGAGGCUGGAAUUAUAUAUUAGUCCCUGCUGGAAAGUUCUACAGGAUUUUGCCUAAAUAGUCCUUCAAUUUCUGACUUGUGCCUCAAGUUUCAGGCUGGAAUUAUAUAUUAGUUCCUGCUGGAAAGUUCUACAGGAUUCUUAUCAGAUUCUUAUAAAUUCAAAUUCCUUUUAUACCCUUACUAGCCUUCCUAAAUUACCAUACCCCUGAACUUGACCUUGGUCAGUCCUUUUAACCCUAGUUCAUAUACAUUCGACCUUGGUCAGCCAAAUUUGGGUCUCAUUUUAUCCUCAGAUUAAUAAACUCAUGAAGGUUUAAUCAGCCAGCAUUAACAGACUUAAUUAGCCAAAGAAUUAACAGACUUCUAUGCAGGAUUAAUAGAACAAGAGAUCAAAUAAUCAGAAAGAGUGUAUAUAUCUAUCAGACUUAACAUUCAGAAAUAGUUCCAAUCAAAAUGCUUCACACAACAGUUUAGUUCAGGCCGACGGUGGAGAUACUGCCAAAGAAUUAACAGACUUCUACAUGUGUAGACUUCCACAACAUUAUACAACCUAUCAAAACAAAGAACAUUUAUCAACACCUUAUUUUCAGAAAUAGUUUAAUCAAAAGGCUUCAGAAAUUCACACCAUAACUUAAUUCUAGGAUCAUCUUUAAGAGGCAAGUGAAGGUUAACAACAAACAAUUAAUGAACCCAACCCUCAAAUCAACUUAAAACCAAUAUAAUUCUUAAGAGGUAAGUGAAGGUUAACAACGAAAAAUUAAGGAACCAAACCCCCAAAUUAAACUAAAACCAACAUCCAUUCUGAAAAACUAAAGUCAUCAUGACAAUAAAAUGAAACAGAGAUCCUAGAAUCAGAUGGUAUAUGUCAAUUAGGCCUAAAGUUCAUAUUAUAGUAGAAUUAACUAGCUUUAAAAAUCAAAGGCUGAUAUUAGCAGGAAAUUAUCCAAAAGAUAAAAGAUUUCCAAACAAGCAUAUGAACAUUGGGACCCCUUUUUGUCAUAAGAACUUGUGGAUCACCAGAAAAAACAGCAAAAAUCAAGAGAUGAAAAGAAAUUAAAACUCCUAAACAUGUAAUUACUGAGCCUAAACAGUUAUCUCAUGCUAGUGACAAACAAGCAAACAUUGAAACCUAAUCUUAGAUGAACUUUGUGUAUAACCAGAUAAAUAACCAAAAUUAAAGAACAUUCAAAUUAUUAAACCUAAUUAGUUUAUUCCAGGCUGAAGACUUUCAAACCAAGCGUAUGAACACUGAAGAACUUGUGGAUAACCAGACAAAUAAUCAAAAGAAAAUAUCCUAAAGAAACUCAAAUUAUGAAACACGCAAUCACUAAUCAGUUAUUAACAGAAAUCCAGCAUUCAGAUAUAAAGAGAAGUGGAAAAGAAGCAGAAAACUUAGAUUUUCGUUGCUGUUGUCAUUUGAAUUGAUUCAGUUGGACCUUUGUUUUUCCACAGGGGUCUUGAAACUACCAGAAGGGGUUUAUUCAGUUUCAAAGUUCAAGGGAGGGUUCUUGAGGCCCUGUGACCUCAGUAGGUCUUAGAUAUGGGAUUUUGAGUGGUUGGGACUUGUUUGAGACUCAAGGAUGGUAUGGUUAAUGUCAGUAGGGUUCAGGGACUACCUAGGAGGGUUUUAGGACCAUUUCUGUUAAGUUUGGGGAUUUAGGGUUAAUCUUCAUAUUAAUAUUCGUGGGGUUCUAUGGUGAUUUGAAAGGGGAGACAUGCAUGGUUAGAAUGGGGAAGUCAGGGUGCCUCAGCGGUGUAAUUUUGGUUGACUUUGGAGUGAGGUCGUCGGAGGUAGAGUUUCCGGCAACCUUUGAAUGGAUAUUCGAGGCGGAUGGGUAGUGUUUGAAGGAAACCGGUCAUUGGAUGGGGUAAAGGAGGUUAUGUCGGUUAAGAGGUGUAAUUUUGGGGCCGUUUCGUUACCGGCCAGCGCCAUUAGGCGAUUUCCGGCGGCGGUAGUGGGUGGUCAGCCGGUGGUCAACGGGUGGUGCUAGGGUGGUCAGUAAUCGGCGUUGGAGAUACGAGGAAGGUGAAUUUUGUCGUAUGUAUACUGAAUGUGUUUGGACAUAUGUAUACAUAAGUGGAGGGGCUUCUGUGGCCAUUGGAUCGGGAAAAAUCUACGGCUGUUAUGGGAAGGGCCUCAAACGGCGUCGUUUGGCUCGAUGGAUGUGUGGAAUGGGUUGGCUGGUUGUAUUGGGCUGGUUUGUGGACUCAGAGAUAGAAGUAAAUUGGGCCACUAAGGUCUGGCCCAAUUGUGGCCAGCCUGAGUUGCCAGCUAUAUAUAUAUGUGUGUAUUGUAUUUGUUAUGUAUUUUUUGUCUUUUCUUUUAAUUAAAAUUAAAUACUGAAUUUAUUUUAAAAACCACAAAUCAAAGAUAAAAUUAAAACAAUUCAAAAUUGAACAAAUACAAUUUCAAGUGCUGGCACAUAUAUAUUUUUAUUAUAUUUAAUUUAUAAAACAAGUUUAUUUAACAAUUAACAACCCUAAUUAAUCCUAACACGCAGUAACGAACAUGCAUAUGCAAUUAAUGUCCAAAAAUUAAAAUCCUAAUAUUUUAUAAGAGAAAAUCCUAAACUUUAAGAGUCCUGUAGGAGUUGAUUUCGACCGGUCAAAAAUCAUAUGCUCACAGAGCUUAUCAAUGAAAGUGCCAAUUUCUCUAAGUGUGGAUAUCUAGUUUCUACUUCUCCUAGAGUUCGAAUAACAUAAUAAACAUGAAAUUGCGUGCCUUGGUCUUCUCGAACCUGGACACCACUUACUGCGAUCUCUGAGACUACCAAGAAUAAGUAGAGUUUUUCAUCUGCCUUUGGAAAAUAAAGCAAUGGUUUUAGUUAAAAUUAAAUACUAAAUUUAUUUAAAAAUCAUAAAUCACAGAUAAAAUUAAAACAAAUCAGAAUUGAAUAAAACUAAUUUCAAAUGCUGGCACAUAUAUAUUUUUGUAUUUUUAAAUUCUUUUUUAACUUAUAAAACCAAUUUAUUUAACAAUUAAAUCCCAAUUAAUACUAAACAUGCAUUAAUGAACAUGCACAUGCAGUCAAAUCCUAAAAUUAAAAUCCUAACAUUUACAAGAAAAAUCCUACACUUUUAGAAUUCUAUAGGAGCUUAUUUCGACUGGUCAAAAAUCAUAUGCUCACAGUAGUGUCCAUUAAAGUCUUAGGGUUCCAGCAGAUUCAAGUUAGGUAGUGGAAUAUGACGAAUGAUGGAUGAUGACAACAAGGCGAGUGAAUUCAGAGAAAAAAUAAUGGUUAAAUGAUAAAGAAGUUUUACUUGAUAGGGGGAGCCGGCCGUUAAAAGCAAAAAAACCAUCAGACAAAACCUAAAAUCCAGAGUUCAGUGCAUUUGACCUCUGGGUAUAAAAUCCUCAUAAGAGAGAUUGAAACGAUUUGUUGUUCUACUUUUAAGCAAGGGUUCAUAUUUGGGGCUUUUGCAUUUGAGUGAUACAAUAUGGAAGAAACCGGCAUGAUUAGCAGAUUUAGAAGGCAAAGAGGAUGAUUUCAAGGUAGAUUUGUGACCUUGCACAAAUUUGUGCAAGGAUUUUGGUGAUUGACGGGUUGGAUUGGAUGAGAGAAAGAAGAGAGAAAAGGGAAAGGGAGCAACUAUUUUAGAUAAAAUGAUUUAGGGUUCUGGGCUUCUCUAAGUUAAAAUCAGGAGAUGAAACGGAAGCCGUUGGACCCUUUGAUCAAUGGCGCCGAUCUUUUUGAUAACUAGGAAUUUUGAAAAAAACUUAUAGGAAAAAAAUGGUGGACAUUCGAUUCUUGUGAUCCAAUGACGGUGAUAAACUAUGACACGCCUUUAAAAAAACUAAAAUGGAAUUAAAU
rnacentral:lncRNA from 1 species